rnacentral:rRNA from 1 species
GAUUCCCUAGUACUGCGAGUGAAGCGGGGAAAAGCUCAAAUUUAAAAGCCUUCGGGCGUUUGUAAUCUAUAGAAGUGUUUUCGGUCGUUGCCUCGGAUAAGUCUCUUGGAACAGAGUGUCAAAGAGGGUGAGAAUCCCGUUCUUGCCGAGCUACCAACGUCUAUGCGAUACACUUUCAAAGAGUCGAGUUGUUUGGGAAUGCAGCUCAAAAUGGGUGGUAAACUCCAUCUAAAGCUAAAUAUUGGCGAGAGACCGAUAGCGAACAAGUACCGUGAGGGAAAGAUGAAAAGCACUUUGGAAAGAGAGUUAAACAGUACGUGAAAUUGUUAAAAGGGAAACGCUUGGAGUCAGUCGCGUUGCAUGGACUCAGCCUCACGGUGUAUUUCUGUGCAACGGGUCAACAUCAGUUUUGGGCGGGGGAAAAGGGCUUGGGGAAUGUAGCAACCUCGGUUGUGUUAUAGCCCCUUGUCGUACACCUCGCCCGGGACUGAGGUCUGCUUAAAGGAUGUUGACGAAAUGGCUCUAAGCGACCCGUCUUGAAC